rnacentral:lncRNA from 1 species
UGCAACCAAGCUUAUGGCUGUGCACAUUCUUCAGGUAACAUAACACACUUCCUGACGUGCCAAACUCCAUCAAAAUAAUAGUCUAGACUUUAGUGUUAGCUCUUACCAUUAUAUAUGCAAAUAGUUUCUUCACCAAUCGUCAUAUACACUAUCAAAGUGAUAUACACAACGUAACAUUCAAUAUCUCAUAUUCUAAUAGUCCAAUUAAGAAGAGAUAAAAUGUCUAGCACUUUCAAAAUUAUUGGGUUCGAGAAGAGAAGGUCGUUGUGUUUAGAUGGAGAUGGAGAUGAUGACGGAGAUGAUGGGUAUGAUUAUGCUCCCGCAGCAUCCUUAGAAAGAGGUGGUGACGACGAUGAUGGAAACUAUUCCUAUACUCCUGCAGCAUCCUUAGAAGGAGAUGAUGAUGAUGGCGAUUAUGAUUAUGCUCCAGCUGCGUGAAUUUCUUGGCAAUGGCGGAUAUAGGAUAGACGCAACGUGUUUGGUCAAACUCACUACGUCUACUUCAGCACAUAAAGAAUUUCGUAGGCAAGAAUGAGGAAGAAGAAUGGUUUUAAUUUAUCCUAGUCUGUUUUUUUUCUUUUUUAAAGUAGGAAUAUGUAGGUUUAUAUAACUAUUACUUAGUUGAAAUUUUUUGCGGCUUAGGUCUACAUCAAGGUGUUAGGGUUCUGAUAUUACUAGCUUAUUAGAUCACUCACUUGAUGAUGUGAUUGUAUUUAUAUAUUUUUCAUACAUUGGUCACAUUAUUAUAAUACUCGGCGAACUAUAAAUACUAUUCUUUUUUGUCUAUUCUAUAUACAUUGCUCUAAAGUCUAACCAUUAUCUGUCAAGACUUUUUAUUGAAAGUAGAGAUGCAUUUAUGUUUUGAGAUUUAUUAUGCUUUAUUUACACCAUGACAGUAGUUUAUCAUCCUCUAAUUAUCAUAUUUUAGUUGAUUUGAAUGUUGACUUACCUAGCGUGUUAGAGCUUGCUAGGUGCGAUCACGACCAUUGGUUGAAUUUUGGAUAGUGAUAUAGAUACUUAAUGUAGUUUUUUUUGUCUUUUUACAAUUUGAUAUGUCUUUGGAUUCUGAGUUCUUUCUCCCCCUAAUUUUCCUACAUGCCAAACAUAAAAGGGAAGAAAGAGAAAAGUUUGGGAGAAAAUCGUGUCUGGUUUUGAAAAGGGAAGAAAGAUAAAAGUUUGGGGGGAAAUCGUGUCUGGUUUCAAGAGUUUUAUAGUCCAAUAACUAAGAGAUAUAUACAAUGUCUAGCAUUUUCAAGAUUAUUGGGUUCGAGAAGAGAAGAUCAUAUUCACAUGGAGAUGACAAUGGAGAUGAUUAUGCUCCAGCAGCAUGCAUAGAAGGAGGUGGUGACGACGAUGAUGGAGACUAAGACUAUGCUCCUGCAGCAUCCUUAGAAGGAGAUGACGAUGAUGGCAAUUAUGAUUAUGCUCCAGCUGCAUGAAUUUCUUGGCAAUGGCAGAUGUAGAAUAGACACAACGUGUUUGGUCAAACUCCUACGUCUACUUCAGCACAUAAAGAAUUCGUAGGCAGGAAUGAGGAAGAAGAAUGGUUUUAAUUUAUCCUAGUCUGUUUUUUUCUUUUUUAAAGUAGGAAUAUGUAGGUUUAUAUAAGUAUUACUUAGUUGAAACUUUUUGCGGCUUAGGUCUACAUCAAGGUGUUAGG